CCUGUAGCUCAGUGGAUAGAGUACCGGAUUCCGGAUCCGAGGGCCGGGGGUUCGAAUCCCUCCAGGC
rnacentral:tRNA from 1 species